rnacentral:tRNA from 1 species
GGGCCCGUGGCUUAGUCUGGGAGAGCGACCGGCUCUUAACCGGUAGGUCGAGGGUUCGAAUCCCUCCGGGCCCG